GAUGAACGCUGACAGAAUGCUUAACACAUGCAAGUCAACUUGAACUUCGGUUUGGGUGGCGGACGGGUGAGUAACGCGCAAAGAACUUGCCUCACAGAUAGGGACAACAUUUGGAAACGAAUGCUAAUACCUGAUAUUAUGAUUUUAGGGCAUCCUAGGAUUAUGAAAGCUAUAUGCGCUGUGAGAGAGCUUUGCGUCCCAUUAGCUAGUUGGAGAGGUAACGGCUCACCAAGGCGAUGAUGGGUAGCCGGCCUGAGAGGGUGAUCGGCCACAAGGGGACUGAGACACGGCCCUUACUCCUACGGGAGGCAGCAGUGGGGAAUAUUGGACAAUGGACCAAGAGUCUGAUCCAGCAAUUCUGUGUGCACGAUGAAGUUUUUCGGAAUGUAAAGUGCUUUCAGUUGGGAAGAAAAAAAUGACGGUACCAACAGAAGAAGUGACGGCUAAAUACGUG
rnacentral:rRNA from 1 species